rnacentral:rRNA from 1 species
GACGAACGCUGGCGGCGUGCUUAACACAUGCAAGUCGAGCGGUAAGGCCCUUUCGGGGGUACACGAGCGGCGAACGGGUGAGUAACACGUGGGUGACCUGCCCUCAGCUCUGGGAUAAGCCUGGGAAGCUGGGUCUAAUACUGGAUAUGACUCCACGGUGCAUGUCGUGGGGUGGAAAGCCUUGUGCGGCUGAGGAUGGGCCCGCGGCCUAUCAGCUUGUUGGGGGGUGAUGGCCUACCAAGGCGACGACGGGUAGCCGGCCUGAGAGGGCGACCGGCCACACUGGGACUGAGACACGGCCCAGACUCCUACGGGAGGCAGCAGUGGGGAAUCUUGCGCAAUGGGCGAAAGCCUGACGCAGCGACGCCG